AGAAGUGUGCUCUUCUGGUCUCUAAAUCCCGUAUUGUCCAGUAUGAGAAACAGCUUGAGAAGUUCAGAACCAUGAUUCCAUUUGAUCAGAUGACAUUUGAGGACUUGAAUGAGGUCUUCUCUGAAACCAAAUUGGACAAGGAAAAGUAUCC